rfam:Myotis lucifugus cont2.22275, whole genome shotgun sequence.
AGGGUUGUAGUUUAGGGGUAGAGCUUGUUUUGCAUGAAUGAGGCCCUAGGUUCAAACCCUGGCAACUCUA